rnacentral:lncRNA from 1 species
AUCUCCUCCAUCUAUCAUGGCUGAACUCUGUAUUCCAUUCAAGCCUCCUGCAAGACCUCUAAGGUCCCCGAGGUUAGCUUUCGGUGGCACAUUCCCGGCCAAUGUGUUUGUGUUUCCUGGAAUCGCAUUGAGAGCAAGAUUACGAUUUAUCGAUUUCCAAAAUACAUCAAUGGUGAAAUGUAUUUAGAACUUCAAUAGUGAGAUAUAGACUGGUACCUGUAAUUGAACCAACAAUAAUGAGACGCUUAUAAGGAUAAUCUGACUGCUUGAGGUCAUCUAGGAGUAGCCUUGCUAGGAGGAAAUGACCGAGAUGGUUUGUUCCGACGCUGAGUUCGAACCCUUCGGCAGUAUAAGUCGGUUCCUUAGCAGUUGGCAAGUACACAGCAGCAUUGCAAACCAAAGCAUCAAGCGGCCUGCCCGAGCGACGGAAGGUAUUCGCAAAUUGCCGCACACUUUCAAGCGACGCAAGGUCCAAAUGCAUCACGGAAUAAUUCUCCUUCGUAAUGCCAACCGAUUUAGCAGCUUUCUCAGCCUUGAGAAAAUUUCUACACGCCAUGAUUACAUGCCAUUCCCCUGUCUCGGCAAGAGCCUUGGCCGUCGCUAAGCCUAAACCGGACG